UUGUUUUUAUAUUAAUAAAUAGCUGACUCUUAAUCAGCGGGUCGUAGGUUCGAGCCCUACAUCACCCACCA
rnacentral:tRNA from 1 species